rnacentral:rRNA from 1 species
GCUAAACGCGAAGAACCUUACCUGGCCUUGACAUCCAUGGAAUCCCGAAGAGAUUCGGGAGUGCCGCAAGGAACCAUGAGACAGGUGCUGCAUGGCUGUCGUCAGCUCGUGUCGUGAGAUGUUGGGUUAAGUCCCGCAACGAGCGCAACCCUUGUCCUUAGUUGCCAUCAUUAAGUUGGGAACUCUAAGGAGACCGCCGGUGACAAACCGGAGGAAGGUGGGGAUGACGUCAAGUCAUCAUGGCCUUUAUGGCCAGGGCUACACACGUGCUACAAUGGCAGGUACAGAGGGAAGCCAACCAGCAAUGGGGAGCCAAUCCCAGAAAGCCUGUCUUAGUCCGGAUUGCAGUCUGCAACUCGACUGCAUGAAGUUGGAAUCGCUAGUAAUCGCAGAUCAGCAUUGCUGCGGUGAAUACGUUCCCGGGUCUUGUACACACCG